AAUUAACGCUGGCGGCAUGCCUAACACAUGCAAGUCGCACGAGAAAGCCCCUUUCGGGGGGCAAGUAAAGUGGCGCACGGGUGAGUAACGCGUGGAUAAUCUACCUCGUUCUGGGGGAUAACCCAUCGAAAGGUGGGCUAAUACCGCAUAAUCCGGCUGAAUUUUGGUUUGGUCGGCAAAGGUGGCCUCUUCAUGAAAGCUACCGGGAAGAGAUGAGUCCGCGUCCCAUUAGCUAGUUGGUGGGGUAAAAGCCUACCAAGGCGACGAUGGGUAGCUGGUCUGAGAGGAUGGCCAGCCACACUGGAACUGAAACACGGUCCAGACUCCUACGGGAGGCAG
rnacentral:rRNA from 1 species